AGUGCAGUGAAAGGCUUUGACCUUUACGUAUCGUGAUAGCUUAAAAUUACAUAUGUGGGCUAAUUCUUUCUGUGAUGAACAGUUGUUUGGAGUAAGAGUAUUGUUUAGUUUGGUUGUUUAGUUCAGAGUCGGUGAGUGGUACCUACUGUUUUGAAGAGCGUGGUAUGCUGUGGGGCAUCAGUUUUGUUACCUUGAUUUUCUAUUGCAUCUGUUUUUUUCUUGCCCUAAAACUACAUACCGUAAAGGGCACAAAAGUUUUUUGAACAUAUUCAGUGAUAGCAGAAAGCGUAUGGUGGAUGCUGGAUAAAAGUUUAAUUCAUUUACAGCUUCAUCAUUCUAUUAAAUAGAAUUAUUAAGUUCUGUAACUUUGUAUUACAGAAGUUGAAAUUGGUGCUGAGGUUUAACACUCUGUAAGUCCACCUAAUGAGAUUUCUUUUUAAUGAGGAAAAAAAAGGACAUACUGUUUGAAACAUUAAAAUCUUUGAGGACCAUGUUUUUCAGGAUGUGAGGGAGAGAAUAGUGGUUGGAAAAACAGCAACCGUAGUUGAUUAUUAUCAGCUAAGGUACAAAUACGGGAAAGUGUGUAGGGCUUGAAGCAGGUGCAGACUGGUACCAUCUUCUGUCCGUGAGCCCUGCUUUUUGUGAUGGCUCGGUGGAGAAACUUGAGGAUUUGAACUUGGCAGGAUGGUUACAGGCGGCAUUGUCCAAUGUGAAGUCUUAAGAUGAGGUACCACUCUUUGGUUGGCUUACUGCAUUAGCAUUUUGAAUGGUUCUUUCUUUAUAUUAAUUGUUUGUCUCUUCUCUUGGCAGCGUAUGGACAAUGAAACCUAGCUAAGAAGAAAAGACUGUGGAAACAAGGUUUCAAAUGCCCACAAUUAAAGGUAAUGAAAUUGAGAGAGAAAAUACGGAAGAACAGCAGCAGAGUACUCUCAAGGUAAAGCUUCUUCCGAGCUCUUUGUGCAAUUCUUCCAACUAGUCAAGCCCAGCUGCGACCAUGGCCAAGACUACAGUAAGUCAGCAAAUUACUUUGUGUCCUUUGAUCGCGAUAACUGCACUGGUAACAGUGUGGUGGCAUUAAACAAAUGUGGUGUUCUUCCUCUUCUCUUUAUUGUUUAGGUCACCAAAGGUGAAAAGUCAUUAGACAACAGUGUAACUAAAUUACUUCUCGGGAUAGAAUACACUUUGACACCAUUUUGUGUCACUAGUAUGUUAACUCUG
ensembl:lncRNA